GGGGACUUAGCUCAGUGGCAGAGCGCUUGCCUAGCAAGUGCAAGGCCCUGGGUUCGGUCCCCAGCUCCA
rnacentral:tRNA from 1 species